UCAUAGUAUUUUUUCAAAUUCAUGAUGUCGUAAGGGAAAAUAAUGAUAAUACCUUACUAUGAGUGUCGUCCAAAUCUGGUGCCAGAAGACUCGGUAAGACCAGAGACGCAAACGUUAAUCAUCAUAAACAGGCGUAAAGGGUUUGUAGGCAGCUUUUAUAAGAUUAUUUUUUUUAAAAAUAAAGGGUAAUCUAAAUUGAAAGCUAGAAUCAAAAAGAGGUUAUAGUGUAUAACGCCUAGAGGAGGGCUGAUAUCCAUAGAUCCUAGGCAGAAUACUCAGGGCGAAGGCCACUCUCCACUAAUGAUUGACGCUGAGAAACGAAGGUUAGGGUAGGAAAUAGGAUUAGAUACCCCGGUACUCCUUUCUGUAAACGAUGAAUGGUAGUCAUUAGUUAAAUUAAAAUAACUAGAGGCGAAGUUAACACAAUAAUCAUUCCGCCUUGUGAGUACUACUGCAAAGUAGAAAACAAAAAAAUUAGUCGGUCUCGAAGCAAACGGAGUGAAGCAUGUUAUUUA
rnacentral:rRNA from 1 species